GGCCUCACGGCCUAAUGGAUAAGGCGUCUAACUUCGGAUUAGAAGAUUCCAGGUUCGAAUCCUGGUGGGGUCG
rnacentral:tRNA from 1 species